rnacentral:rRNA from 1 species
UACGGGGGGGGGCAAGCGUUGUUCGGAAUUACUGGGCGUAAAGGGCUCGUAGGUGGCCAACUAAGUCAGACGUGAAAUCCCCCAGCUUAACUGGGGAACUGCGUCUGAUACUGGAUGGCUUGAGUUUGGGAGAGGGAUGCGGAAUUCCAGGUGUAGCGGUGAAAUGCGUAGAUAUCUGGAGGAACACCGGUGGCGAAGGCGGCAUCCUGGACCAACACUGACACUGAUGAGCGAAAGCCAGGGGAGCAAACGGG